rnacentral:rRNA from 1 species
AAGAGCAGAAAGUCUGUUCGACUUUUAAAAAUUUACAUGAUUUGAGUUCAGACCGGCGCAAGCCAGGUCGGUUUCUAUCUUCUUUACAAAGAUUUCAGUACGAAAGGACAAAACCUUUAGUAUUUUAC